CCUACGGGAGGCAGCAGUAGGGAAUCUUUCACAAUGGGCGAAAGCCUGAUGGAGCAACGCCGCGUGCAGGAUGAAGGCCUUCGGGUUGUAAACUGCUUUUAUAAGCGAGAAAUAUGAUGGUAACUUAUGACUAAGGAUCGGCUAACUACGUGCCAGCAGCCGCGGUCAUACGUAGGAUCCGAGCAUUAUCCGGAGUGACUGGGUGUAAAGAGUUGCGUAGGUGGCAUAAUAAGUAGCUAGUGAAAUCUGGUGGCUCAACCAUUCAGACUAUUAUCUAAACUGUUAAGCUUGAGAACGUUAGGGGUAACUGGAAUUUGUAGUGUAGGAGUGAAAUGCGUAGAUAUUAGAAGGAACACCAAUAGCGUAGGCAGGUUGCUGGGACGGUUCUGACACUAAGGCACGAAAGCGUAGGGAGCAAACGGGAUUAGAUACCCCAGUAGUC
rnacentral:rRNA from 1 species